rnacentral:misc_RNA from 1 species
CGCACACAUCAACACUCCAUACCUGCCCUUCAACACUGCUAUUGAAAACAACAACCCCCGUUCUACGCCCCCUUUUCGCACACGCACGUACACGCAGACGCUACUCUUUCGCUUCUUUUCGCGUCAGGCGCGCGGAGCGCACACAAAGAAAACCGAGACGAUAAAAGAAAAAAAGCGUUAGCGCGAGGAGCACCCAUAACCAACGUACACGUCUCCCCCGAGCCUUAGCCCGCGACGCGUGCAUUCCUGAUCUGACUGCCGCAUAGCAAAUCAGAAAGUCCGCCAUUCAAUAGACACAGAGAACACACACACACACACGACACACAAAAAGAAACAUUUUGAAAGACCCUAAAAAAAAGCAACGCACCCACGCAUCAUACGGUGGGGGCAGUGGCGGCGGACCCAACGUGUUCGUUCGGGCCAGCCUUAUCACGCAAAGGAAAGCAGAACCAACAAACGAACGGAUAAAACGGUGUCGCCUCUUCUUCUGCGUGACGCCGAGUAUCUGUCGUUCUCGCUCUUGCGAUUUGGCGGACUCGCACUAUAUCAGCUCUCGUAUGCAGCACCUUCGCUUUCUUGCCCUCACUUGUUCUCUUAUGCGAGUUUUUCUUCGCCUUCAACUCGAUUCGUCGUCGUUGUGCAUUAUUUGGCAAAG